GACGAACGCUGUCGGCGUGCUUAACACAUGCAAGUCGAACGGAAAGGCCCUGCUUUUGUGGGGUGCUCGAGUGGCGAACGGGUGAGUAACACGUGAGUAACCUACCCUUGACUUUGGGAUAACUUCAGGAAACUGGGGCUAAUACCGGAUAGGAGCUCCUGCUGCAUGGUGGGGGUUGGAAAGUUUCGGCGGUUGGGGAUGGACUCGCGGCUUAUCAGCUUGUUGGUGGGGUAGUGGCUUACCAAGGCUUUGACGGGUAGCCGGCCUGAGAGGGUGACCGGCCACAUUGGGACUGAGAUACGGCCCAGACUCCUACGGGAGGCAGCAGUGGGGAAUAUUGCACAAUGGGCGGAAGCCUGAUGCAGCAACGCCGCGUGCGGGAUGACGGCCUUCGGGUUGUAAACCGCUUUCGCCUGUGACGAAGCGUGAGUGACGGUAAUGGGUAAAGAAGCACCGGCUAACUACGUGCCAGCAGCCGCGGUGAUACGUAGGGUGCGAGCGUUGUCCGGAUUUAUUGGGCGUAAAGGGCUCGUAGGUGGUUGAUCGCGUCGGAAGUGUAAUCUUGGGGCUUAACCCUGAGCGUGCUUUCGAUACGGGUUGACUUGAGGAAGGUAGGGGAGAAUGGAAUUCCUGGUGGAGCGGUGGAAUGCGCAGAUAUCAGGAGGAACACCAGUGGCGAAGGCGGUUCUCUGGGCCUUUCCUGACGCUGAGGAGCGAAAGCGUGGGGAGCGAACAGGCUUAGAUACCCUGGUAGUCCACGCUGUAAACGGUGGGUACUAGGUGUGGGGUCCAUUCCACGGGUUCCGUGCCGUAGCUAACGCUUUAAGUACCCCGCCUGGGGAGUACGGCCGCAAGGCUAAAACUCAAAGGAAUUGAUGGGGCCCCGCACAAGCGGCGGAGCAUGCGGAUUAAUUCGAUGCAACGCGUAGAACCUUACCUGGGUUUGACAUGGAUCGGGAGUGCUCAGAGAUGGGUGUGCCUCUUUUGGGGUCGGUUCACAGGUGGUGCAUGGCUGUCGUCAGCUCGUGUCGUGAGAUGUUGGGUUAAGUCCCGCAACGAGCGCAACCCUUGUUCACUGUUGCCAGCACGUUAUGGUGGGGACUCAGUGGAGACCGCCGGGGUCAACUCGGAGGAAGGUGGGGAUGACGUCAAGUCAUCAUGCCCCUUAUGUCCAGGGCUUCACGCAUGCUACAAUGGCUGGUACAGAGAGUGGCGAGCCUGUGAGGGUGAGCGAAUCUCGGAAAGCCGGUCUCAGUUCGGAUUGGGGUCUGCAACUCGACCUCAUGAAGUCGGAGUCGCUAGUAAUCGCAGAUCAGCAACGCUGCGGUGAAUACGUUCCCGG
rnacentral:rRNA from 1 species